rnacentral:lncRNA from 1 species
AUGAGCCGCCUAGCUCCCUGUCGAGAUUGCCGCCGUCGCGGCUGCUGUCACCGAGGCCGGGUCAUCGGGCCGCGGGGACCUCAAAGCCGAGUGGACGGGAGCCCCAAGUCAUUGCCUAUCCUUCGCCUCCCCAGAGCUGCUGCAACUGUCAGUCACCCACCCGGAACCCCGAGGGGCAACUACCAAGUAGGCCUCGGGGCCCGGAACAAGGGUCCCGGGGCUCAGGAUCUCGGCCGCUGCGCCUCACUCCUGCCCCAGCCCCGCGCACGGAACUCGUUUCCUUCCCACCCAGUUCGGGACACUCCUCUCUGACUUCCCCAGAUCUCACUUGCAGCGCUACAGCCAGUCCCUCUUCUGGUUCUCACGCACCCACUUAAGGCGGAGUGACUGGCCUAAAAGUCCAAGCUGAUCGUGUGGCUUCCGUUCGUAAAUAUCUCCCCUGGAUCUCCCUCCCUGGAGCCAGACAAGACUCAAAACUCCGAAGGGAAUGCAGUCCCCGCAGGGCGCAAAGGAGAAACUAAUAGUCCAGAGGCGGGGUGAACUUAAAGACCUGGCUUUCAUUAGCGUGGUGUUGUAACAGACUGCCAAGGAGCCUCUGAGGAAAUGGAUUUACGUACAUAUACAUACUCGCCCUUGCCCCUGAAGCAACAUCAAAUACUUUCAUGUUAUUCUUGGGGGCGUUUUAAUUCUUCCGAUCCUCUGAAUUCGUGUUUUUGUACAUCUCUUUCCAACCUGGGCCUACACACUAACAGAAAUAGUUUUUUACAUCGAAGGACAAUGCUUAGUGUUUUAUUCAGUCUCAGCUCUUUUCUUUCUUUUUUCUCGUUGUGUUUCAAAAUGUUUAUUUUUUCUGUCUUGUGAUAGUUUUGGAGGAAAAAUAUUGAAAUAAUUCAAAUCAGGCUCUUAACUCUGCUUUAUUAAAUUUAUAGUCAUAGUAGCCUGUGAGUAUGCUUCGGGGGAGGAAAAAAGAAUGCUGGGGUCUUUAUUCUUCAAGUUCUCUAAGUUUGAUAUUUUGAAUAAACACCCAGAGGUGUCUCUGCCUUUUGUGUGUUAGUAUCUAAUCUUUCCUGCAUUUACGAGUCACUAGUAAAAUGCUAUGAAAGCCAUAGAUCCCAUGGCUCUCACUGUGAUUUUCCUGGGCUGAGUAGGGACUUAGUGAUGUUUAACCCCCAGUAUGCUUUUUAUAGAAGCACCAGCUGAUUCACCAGUGCCCUCCAAAGUGAGCACCUAUCCAUCUCACUCUGGACUCCCAACAGGUCAUACCAGGGAGCUUCGUUGAAAUAGACUUGGCAUUUAAAUUAAAAUGUUUCCCAAAGCAUCUUGGCAGACCUGUAACUAAUGAUGCCAGAGGCCCAAGGCCUGUGCCAGGUUCCCUUUUAUUCCCAUAAGUGCUUGUCUCCCACAAGCCACUGGUCACACGCCUGCUGAUGUUAUAGAAGCACUUCUUCAUCCCACAAACAGCCCAACUGUAGGUACCCUAUCUCAGACAUGGUGAAGGGAAGCAGCAUGUUCCUCUGACAUGUGCGAUGCUUGGCUCCCAACAGGCUUUUUAUAAUAAGCUAAACUCAGAUUUUUUCAUCACAAAUAGCGUAGUAAGUAAUUGUUUUUCCUCAUUCCUGCUUGUCUCUCUGCAGUCACUAAGUGGUUGCUGUCCAUUCCUCAUAUUCCACAAGCAAUAUUAUUGAAGAAAUUGUAAAUAUUUUGCCAAAAUUCUUGCUGAAGUGUUUUCAUGGCAUUGUGAAAUUCGUAGUAGUUGGAGUUAGAAAAAGAGCCAAAAUAUCAUAGUCAUUCCUCAGCGAAUAUUGUCUAAUGGUUCCCUCAGAUUACAUUUCAGAGCAGGGCAAUAAAAGAUAGGCAAGACAUUAAUAAAAUGCCCAUUCUAAAUAGCUCCAUGAUGCUUAUGCCAAUUUAUUUUGUCUGUAUGCAAACGGUUGGAUUCUGGUGAGUAACCUGCUCAUA